UUUUUUUUUUGAAACUGAUUAAUCAUCAGAUUACUGUAUUACACAGAUAUUUACAACAACUGCUUAUUGUAGCAGAGAUAUUACACUGAUAUUUACAAUCAGAUAUACAUGAUUGGGACUUACAUUAUUACAAUGAAUUCUAUGAAGUACAUGCCCAAUACAAAUAACCCCUCACAAGAGAAAAUGUCCAUACUCCACUUACAUUUCACAAGGGAUAAUGAUUUUUUAAAUAUAAAGAACAUUUAGCCCCCACAAUACUUUUGUGGGGGCUAGAACCGUGCUUGUGAGGGCAGCAGCCCACCACUUCGGCCAAGGCCGAAGUGGCAUAUGUCUUUUUCUUUAAAACCAUCUCAAACAAUCUUUUUUUUAAAAGGUCCUCACCAAUGGGUCCCAAAUGCCAUGCACAGAGCUAAAAAGCGUGCUUCACCAACUCUUUGGCACGACAUUAAUGUGUUUAUCGCUUGCCAGACUUUUUACAUAGAUUUAGGUUUUUUUUUUUUUUUUAAGGUUAAACAAUGAAUAUUAAAAUUUCUAAUAAAAUUUUAUUACAGCUUCUUAAACCGACUCAAAAUGUGUAAUCAGAUUUAUUUUUAAAUAUUUCAAAGAAAAGUAACACAUUAAUACAUACGGGAAACUCAAACCUAUACAUUCGUUGUAGGUAAAGAAGUAGUCGAACACUAGACUAUUGAGUAAGUUUUCACAUAAAUUAAGUAGAUGCUGAGUAGUUGUAAAUUUUGUCAAUUAACAGUACAGGAAAUCCUCAAUCAUUAAUAGUGCUCUUAUGACUGAGAAAAAUAAAGCACACGUUAGUUAUCAAAUCAGUACCCCUAUAAAAUAGUAUUUAAUCAAAUAUUAAUUUAUCAAUAUUUUUAUUAUAAAAUGGAUAAUUUGAUCUCUACCUCAUAACAAGAUUCUCUCAUAAUCUGAAUAUGUAU
rnacentral:lncRNA from 1 species